CCUACGGGGGGCAGCAGUGGGGGAUAUUGCACAAUGGGGGAAACCCUGAUGCAGCGACGCCGCGUGUGGGAAGACGGUCCUCUGGAUUGUAAACCACUGUCCCCAGGGACGAAGAUGACGGUACCUGGGGAGGAAGCUCCGGCUAACUACGUGCCAGCAGCCGUGGUAAUACGGAGGGAGCAAGCGUUGUCCGGAAUUACUGGGGUUAAAGGGAGCGAAGGGGGGCGGGAAAGUUGGGUGUAAAAUGUACCGGCUAAACUGGGAGUCGCACUCGAAACUGCUAUUCGUGAGUGAAGUAGAGGCAGGCGGAAUUCCUAGUGUAGCGGUGAAAUGCAUAGAUAUUAGGAGGAACACCAGUGGCGAAGGCGGCCUGCUGGGCUUUUACUGACGCUGAGGCUCGAAAGUGUGGGUAGCAAACAGGAUUAGAUACCCGGGUAGUC
rnacentral:rRNA from 1 species